rnacentral:rRNA from 1 species
UACGGGGGGGGCAAGCGUUGUUCGGAAUUACUGGGCGUAAAGGGUUCGUAGGUGGCUCGCUAAGUCAGACGUGAAAUCCCUCAGCUUAACUGGGGAACUGCGUCUGAGACUGGCAAGCUUGAGUGCAGGAGAGGAACGCGGAAUUCCAGGUGUAGCGGUGAAAUGCGUAGAUAUGCGGAGGAACACCGAUGGCGAAGGCAAUCCCCUGGGCCUGCACUGACGCUCAUGCACGAAAGCGUGGGGAGCAAACAGG